rnacentral:tRNA from 1 species
AGCUUUGUAGUUAAAAAAUAAUAUUAAAGUGCAAAUUUAAAGUUAGUGAAAUACUUAAGGCUU